CUACGUGCCAGCAGCCGCGGUAAUACGGAGGAUGCGAGCGUUAUUCGGAAUCAUUGGGUUUAAAGGGUCUGUAGGCGGGCUAUUAAGUCAGGGGUGAAAUCUUACAGCUUAACUGUGAAAUUGCCUUUGAUACUGGUAGUCUUGAAUAUUUGUGAAGUUUUUGGAAUGUGUAGUGUAGCGGUGAAAUGCUUAGAUAUUACACAGAACACCGAUUGCGAAGGCAGGAGACUAACAAAUAAUUGACGCUGAGAGACGAGAGCGUGGGGAGCGAACAGGAUUAGAUACCCUGGUAGUCCACGCUGUAAACGAUGGAUACUAGCUGUUUGGCGUAAGCUGAGUGGCUAAGCGAAAGUGAUAAGUAUCCCACCUGGGGAGUACGCACGCAAGUGUGAAACUCAAAGGAAUUGACGGGGGCCCGCACAAGCGGUGGAGCAUGUGGUUUAAUUCGAUGAUACGCGAGGAACCUUACCAAGGUUUAAAUGGGAACUGACGUACUUAGAGAUAGGUAUU
rnacentral:rRNA from 1 species